GAGCCGGAGGGGCUGCACUGCACCGAGCUUGCACAGGGCGAGGCGGGGGCAGGACCUGGGACCCAGCCACCCCGGAGGAAACCGGAGAGGAAACCAGCUUGGUCUUGCUCUCUGCCUCGUCCCAAUCCCCGGCUCUUACCAAAUGCAGAUCCGUUGGCUGAAUGCCUUUUAGUCUGCAUACAUGCAUCUCAUACCGCACAGCCCAAAUUUCUACAACUUGUCCAGGUGCAGUCUCCUCAGAACUACAAAGCAAGAAAAGAUCACCUUUGGGCUCAGGAACUCACAGUCGUUCUCCCUCUCCCGGAAGGCACAAUGACCAGGACAGUACCGAGCUUUACAGCCAUAUUGAACUCACCAUCAACUCAGCACAUUCAACUCAAUCAGUCAAAAUCGUCUUUUCCUGCUGGUAAAUAACACUGAAAUACAAGGAAGCUGAGCCUUCACAAGGUCGAACAACACAUUUGAUGCCAUGCAACUGAGAAGUGGUUCAAGCUGGAUUUGAACAAAUGUAGUCAGACUCUGCAGCCUAUGCAUGUACCCACUGUGCUAUGCUGUCGCAUUGAAUAAAAUGCAGUGCCCUCAAUACGAAGUCAAUGUGAGCACAUACCAAGAAUCAUAUUGGGAAGGAGAAGUCCUCAGUAGGCAAAACACUUUCCAGCAAUGUUAACCUGGAUGUGGAUAGAAAGGAGACUUGGGAAUUUCUCUGACUUAAUUCAUCUCUGGGUCCAUUUGAAGCACAGCAGAAGAGAGGGGAAGAGGUGCUAGGAGUGGUGGGCUCUGAGGUUCAAGCCCCGCCAAUGGCCAGGCCUAAUAAAGAUCUAGACCUCCUUGCAGAAUGAGGCUUUCUCCAAAACCCUUCAGCUGUGGUUUGGUGGAAGAGGCCUCACUACAUCUAGCUAAUUUUGUUCAUUCAUUCAUUCAUUCACUCAUUUAUUCAACCAGACUUCAUGGACACUUCUCCAUGUCAGGGCCUGGGCGUUGUGUCAGGGUUGCAAGGAUGAGUCAGGGAUUAUCCGUCAUCUCCCGGAAUUCAUGAGCACAUGGGGAAGACAGCUUGGAGAAAAUCACAGUAAUAGGGGAAAAUAAGGGCUGAGAAAAAAGUCCAUGCACUGCAGCGGACAGGACAGCAGAUCAGCUCCUGUGGGUUAAAAGUGGGCUGUGGGCUGGGUGCGGUGGCUCACACCUGUAAUCUCAGCACUUUCGGAGACUGACGUGGGCAGAUCACGAGGUCAAGAGAUCGAGAACAUCCUGGCCAACAUGGUGAAACCCCGUCUCUACUAAAAAUACAAAUAUUAGCUGGCCGUGUUGGCAUGCACCUGUAGUCCCAGCUACUAGGGAGACUGAGGCAAGAGAAUGGCUUGAGCCUGUGAGGCGGAGGUUGCAGUGAGCCGAGAUCACAGCACUGCACUCUAGCCUUGUGACAGAGUCUC
rnacentral:lncRNA from 1 species